rnacentral:lncRNA from 1 species
AUGCCACAAUACAAGCCGUUAAAUUACUACUUGGUUAGUUCACCUAUUUUUCCUCUUUCUCUUUUUUUUUAUCCAUAUAGCUCCAAGCCUGUGUGCACUAAUGGCCCCCUCCUGCCAGCACCAAACACAGAAAGGACCCAGACUACACCACAGCCUGUAUCUGUUACUCAGAAUGCUCCCAAUCUGCCAUCCACAUCUCCACCUGGUGCAGAAUCAGCUGUGGAGAUGCUGGAUAAGCCAUGUGAGGAGACAUCAGCCGCUCAGGUGGACUCAACAGACAGAGUUAAGACGGAGUUGGUUCUAGGUAAUUGCAUCCCUGCAGUUAACAUCACUCCAGAACCCACUCAGGCUAAUGGGUCCAGUCUCAACCUGCGAUUAAUUGAUGGACAUGAUACUCCAAACGGGCCAAAGGCAUCCCCAGAGGCAUCUAGGCACAGUGGGGGUGUCGACAAAGAAGAAACGAAAGGCUCUCCGUCUGAGAAGCCUGGAUCUCGGGAAGAAAAGAGACUAGCAGAAGGCCGAGAACGGGAUUUGGACCGGUCUCAUGCUUCUGCUGCCACAAAGGACCGAGAUCGAGACAAGGAAAGGCACAGACAUUACAGAGAGCAAGAAGACAAAAGCAGAGAGAGGUAUGGACACAGCCAUCGACUGGACAGAGAUUAUUGUCCGCCCAGUCGAGAAAGGCACUACAGAGACCGAUCAGUAGAUAGACAUUGGGACAGACAUGCUUACUACCGUCGAGACAAUUACUACCACAAAAGAGGCAGGGAAGAGCGCAACUGGGAGCGAGACAGGAGAUACCAACCCAGUGCUUACGACGGCUACUCGCGUUCGACUUUCCACCACUAUCGGGACGGAAGCUCCAGCCACUGGCGGCGUGUGAUGGAAAACGGCCGUGACAGGUGGCACCACAAUGCAGUGGAGAGCAGCUCUAGAGCAAAGUUCUCACCCCAGCGCUCCGUCAGCCCUGCAUCCAGACCCUUGUCUAGAAAGCGCAGCCUGUCUGUUGAUGAUGAGGUUUCUGAGGAGCACAGGGCUAAGAAACACAAGAAAUCAAAGAAAAAGAAGAACAAAGACAAGCACAGGUAG